rnacentral:rRNA from 1 species
UACGAAGGGGGCUAGCGUUGCUCGGAAUUACUGGGCGUAACGGGAGCGUAGGCGGCCAUUUAAGUCAGAGGUGAAAUCCCGGAGCUUAACUUCGGAACUGCCUUUGAUACUGGGUGUCUUGGGUGUGAGAGAGGUAUGUGGAACUCCGAGUGUAGAGGUGAAAUUCGUAGAUAUUCGGAAGAACACCAGUGGCGAAGGCGACAUACUGGCUCAUUACUGACGCUGAGGCUCGAAAGCGUGGGGAGCAAACAGG